ensembl:lncRNA
UGCCGAUUAAAUGAUUCGAAGCUGAUCAAAUGAGUCUCCUUUAUAGGAGGGAAACGUAGGACGGGAAUGUUUUCCUCCCAACUAACUGGAUUUUCAUGAACACCACAUUUCUUGUGUGAAAGCUUCUGUGAUCGAUUCAUGAAUAAAUUCCUUCAUAUCCGGCUCGAUCAGUGAGGCCCAGUGUGUGUGCAAUAUAAAUGAUUAUUAGCGUAAGCUAAAAGCUCGAUAAAGAAGUUGCAAAUAUACGCUUGGAAAAUGCUUUUUCUUUUUUUUUUUUAAUGACGGAGUGUAACAUGGUCACGAUGAAACAAAGCCUUGAUUAAACAAUGAUAUAUCUGUGAUCCCUUGUUCAGCAUCAGUGUGGAUUAGCAGCAUCCCACUCAUCAACACACCCUGUGGAAAAAGGCCAAGUUCAACAUUCUCUCCGAACAAGGCGGGGGAAUUACAGCACAGAAAAGGAAAUUAGUUGCACAAGCUUAUCGAUUCACAAUCAGUGCAGGAAUGCUGUUGCAACUCAGCACACGUGUUUCUGAUAUUUGGAAUUUUCAGAUCAAGCACCAGAGCCACCGUGUGAAGGGACUAUCAGACAUCAUCGUGUAGAUCUUACAGUGCCGAUAGUUAAAUGUGACGUCUGUGUGGUACGAAUGACUCGAACCCGAAGACUCAAGAGGUGAACUAGUCCUUUCUGUUUCCGGGGAACGGACGUGACAAAAGGAAGAACGACUCGGAUCUGGAGGUGAGGUGAACUAACAGACUGCAUAGCCUGAAGACCCAACUAAGCAAUUAAUUAAUCAUGUCUGUUUCUCAUAAUUCGGCCUCGGUUGAAUUAGCCUAUAGUUAAUUUUUUAUUCUGAAUGUGAUCAUCGUUUGCGUAAGACUAUCGGGCAUUCAUUUGUUUAGUUUAGUAAAUGUACAAAUUUAUGUGUGCUUACAUGUGUUUGGUGUUCUUCAUAGCAUUGAGAUUGAUACAUAUUUAAAAUGUCUAUUCAGACUUAAAUUAAGUGAUCAGAAUAGCUGAUUUGAAUUGAACUUUAACUUUAAAAAUUGAG